rnacentral:lncRNA from 1 species
UUAUACCAGUCAUUUGCGUGAUUUUAGAGGGCUGAUCUCUGCGUGUCCUGUGAUCACAGCCAUAUCCUUUGUGAGGUCAGGAUCUUGCUGGCAAAAUUUUGGGAGGCUUUGCUCUAUUUUUUUUUUUUUUUGUGUGGAAGGCUUAUGUGAGUUGUUGGCUUCCACAGUAACUCUACAUUUAAAUUAAUUAAACUGUUGACAGUUAAAUUGUACUAAGUAGCUUCGAUAUAAAAGAUGAUUCCCAGAUUUUUUCCAUGCAACUUAAAUAAAUAAAUAAAGAAAGAAGAAAGAAUCUGAGGAACUUCGUUCUAAACAUCUGUCUGGGCAGAUGUCAAAAUGCAGAGUGUUGCUGCAUUAUACUUGUACUUGGACAUUAAAUUGCUGAGAGUCUGUGCCAAAGAGCCCAACAAUAGUGGGAAUAUCUCGCUGUUUGCUUAAUGAGCAAUGAAUGGAAGUGUGAAGGUGAAAAGACAGAUUCUGGGUGAGGGAGUGACAAGGUGAGACUGCUUCUUUAUCACACCUUUUUCUUUUUCAUUUUCAAAGCAGUAAAAAAUAAUAAAAAUAAAAGCUGUGGCUGGGAAUUGCUCCGU